GACGAACGCUGGCGGCGUGCCUAACACAUGCAAGUCAACUUGACUGAAGGAGCAAUCUGACAGUAGAGUGGCGCAAGGGUGCGUAACGCGUAAGUAACUUGCCCCAAGGUAAGGAAUAACGUCGAGAAAUCGGCGCUAAUACCUCAUAAUGCAGCGGAUCCGCAUGGAUAUGUUGUUAAAGGUUUACCGCCUUGGGAUAGGCUUGCGUCUGAUUAGUUAGUUGGUGUGGUAACGGCACACCAAGGCUACGAUCAGUAACUGGUCUGAGAGGAUGAUCAGUCACACUGGAACUGAGACACGGUCCAGACUCCUACGGGAGGCAGCAGUGAGGAAUAUUGGGCAAUGCUCGAAAGAGUGACCCAGCAACGCCGCGUGGAGGAUGAAGGUAUUCUAUAUCGUAAACUCCUGUGAGAGCAGACGAAAGACAGAUUAUUAAUCUGGAUGACUGUAUGCUCAGAGGAAGCCCCGGCUAACU
rnacentral:rRNA from 1 species